CCUACGGGAGGCAGCAGUGGGGAAUAUUGGGCAAUGGAGGAAACUCUGACCCAGCAACGCCGCGUGAAUGAUGAAGGUCUUCGGAUUGUAAAGUUCUUUUCUAAGGGAAGAAGAAAGUGACGGUACCUGAAGAAAAAGCAUCGGCUAACUCCGUGCCAGCAGCCGCGGUAAUACGGAGGAUGUGAGGGUUAUCCGGAUGUAUUGGGUUUAAGGGGUGCGCAGGCGGUCUGUUAAGUCAGCGGUCAAAGCCCGGGGCCCAACCCCGGCCCGCCGUUGAAACUGGCAGUCUCGAGUUGGAGAGAAGUAUGCGGAAUGCGCGGUGUAGCGGUGAAAUGCAUAGAUAUCGCGCAGAACUCCGAUUGCGAAGGCAGCAUGCCGGCUCCACACUGACGCUGAGGCACGAAAGCGUGGGUAUCGAACAGGAUUAGAUACCCGUGUAGUC
rnacentral:rRNA from 1 species